CAGCCGCCACGGUAAUACGAAGGGGGCUAGCGUUGUUCGGAAUUACUGGGCGUAAAGCGCACGUAGGCGGAUAUUUAAGUCAGGGGUGAAAUCCCGCAGCUCAACUGCGGAACUGCCUUUGAUACUGGGUAUCUUGAGUAUGGAAGAGGUUAGUGGAAUUGCGAGUGUAGAGGUGAAAUUCGUAGAUAUUCGCAGGAACACCAGUGGCGAAGGCGGCUAACUGGUCCAUAACUGACGCUGAGGUGCGAAAGCGUGGGGAGCAAACAGGAUUAGAUACCCCUGUAGUCCCUGUCUCUUAUAC
rnacentral:rRNA from 1 species